GCUCCGGCUUUUGCCCUGACAUCCAGACACAUCCCCCCAGUGCCGCCCUCCUGGCACUCGGAAGGAAUUCCUGGAGGGGGCCAGACUCCAGGGCCCGAUCCCAGGGAAAGGCGCUUUUCCCAGCCCAGCGAGCCCCUGGGACCCCAUCACCUCUGCCCCUCCCUCUCUGCACACACCCCCCCCCCCAUCCCCUGCUUUGUGGAGGGGGGGCUGACCAGUUUUUGAGGGGCCAGAGGCACCGUGGCGGGAUGUGCCUCCCAGGGCUGAGCUCUGGCUGCUUUGCUCGUGACCAGCGCCAGGAGGACGGGUGGUCGCUGAGACCUGACGCACUCAGUGCACGGACGUGUGACCCCAGUGAGCCCUCCCCGUGGGGCGCAGGACACACUGGAUCCGCACGGAGCCGGGGCCGAUGCGCUGGGGAAGAGCGAGCCGCCGGUGGCUGAGGACAGAGCUCACUGAAUCUACAGCUGUACUCACAACCCAGAAAAAAAGAGAGAGCGCACGCGCGAGAGGAAAAUACUGAAGUAUUUCUACAGAGUAUUUGUUCCAG